rnacentral:snRNA from 1 species
GUGCUCGCUUCAGCAGCACGUAUACUAAAAUUGGAAUGAUACAGAGAAGGUUAGCAUGGCCCCUGCAUAAGGAUGACAUGCAAAUUCGUGGAACAUUCCACAAUUAA